rnacentral:rRNA from 1 species
GAACGAGGAUAUAUCCUUCGGGAUAUAAGCCGAGUGGCACAAGGGUGAGCAAUGCAUAGAUUACCUACCUUUAGGAUAAGGGCAACUUUGUGAAAACGGAGCUAAUACUUAAUAAUACAAAAGAAAAUAAUAUUCUUUUGUCAAAGGGAGGGUAGCAAUACCUUUCGCCUAGAGAGGGGUUUAUGUCCUAUCAGCUUGUUGGUGGGGUAAUAGCCCACCAAGGCGAAGACGGGUAGCCGGUUUAAGAGGAUGGUCGGCCACACUGGGACUGAGACACUGCCCAGACUUCUACGGAAGGCUGCAGUCGAGAAUCUUUCGCAAUGCCCGAAAGGGUGACGAAGCGACGCCGCGUGGGUGAAGAAGGCCUUCGGGUUGUAAAGCCCUGUCAGGAGUUAUGAAAUGUAAGUGCGCUAAUAUCGUGCUUAUUUGACAAAGGCUCCAAAGGAAGCCACGGCUAACUCUGUGCCAGCAGCCGCGGUAAUACAGAGGUGGCGAGCGUUGUUCGGAAUUAUUGGGCGUAAAGAGCACGUAGGUGGGUUUGCAAGUCAGAUGUGAAAGCCUUCUGUUCAACGGAAGAAUUGCAUCUGAAACUGCUAAUCUUGAGUAUAGGAGGGGAGAAUGGAACUUCUGGUGGAGCGGUGAAAUGCGUAGAUAUCAGAAGGAACGCCGGCGGCGAAAGCGAUUCUCUGGCCUAUUACUGACACUCAGUGUGCGAAAGCUAGGGGAGCAAACGGGAUUAGAUACCCCGGUAGUCCUAGCCGUAAACGAUGGGCACUAAGUAGAGGGAAUUACCUAUAUUCUCUCUGCCGUAGCUAACGCAUUAAGUGCCCCGCCUGGGGAGUACGGCCGCAAGGCUAAAACUCAAAAGAAUUGACGGGGGCUCGCACAAGCGGUGGAGCAUGUGGCUUAAUUCGAUGCAACGCGAAAAACCUUACCGGGGCUUGACAUGAUAGAAGUAGGAACCUGAAAGGGGGACGAACGGUAUCCAGUCCGUAGCUAUCACAGGUGUUGCAUGGCUGUCGUCAGCUCGUGUCGUGAGACGUUGGGUUAAGUCCCCUAACGAGCGAAACCCUUGUUUUUAGUUACCAGCGGGUUAUGCCGGGUACUCUAGAAAGACUGCCGUCGUCAAGACGGAGGAAGGUGGGGAUGACGUCAAGUCAUCAUGGCCCUUAUGCCCCGGGCUGCACACGUGCUACAAUGGUCGGUACAGACGGAAGCGAAGCCGAGAGGUGAAGCGAAUCCUAAAAAGCCGAUCUCAGUUCGGAUUGGAGGCUGAAAUUCGCCUCCAUGAAGUUGGAAUCGCUAGUAAUCGCGGAUCAGCAAUGUCGCGGUGAAUAUGUUCCCGAGCCUUGUACACACCGCCCGUCAAGCCACCCAAGCAGGAUGCACCCGAAAACAUUAUAUCUAACCAGGGCAACUUGGAGGAAAAUGUUGAAGGAGUGUUUUGUGA